rnacentral:lncRNA from 1 species
AUAUAAAGGUACAAUUAUAAUUUAAUCCCAUAUAUUAUUUUUUUUUUAUCGCGAGGUGGAAAAUGCGUUCUUUACGCACACCUCGGAAACCGCUUUCCCAAGGUAAUGUGGGACUCAGCACACCUGCCACUACCAACUAAAAAUCACCUCAGUGCAAAUUCUCAAUGGACUUUAAAGGGAUGGACUCCGAAACACCAGAGGUUUCACUUCAAGGACAACACAGGUGGAGGAUGACCAGUCAAGAUCAGCCAUUCUGCCAACAGAGGAGGACGAACACGGGACGGAUCAAGAUGAACGAACACAAGAUAAAUCACAACAGGAUCUAUUCAACCGUACACGCACACCGGGGAAAAGAAGAUACAUACAUAUACACAGAAGAACAUACAUGGACUUAUAUUUGUAUCCGGUGACCGAUUGACCAUGCGGGAGAUCAGCCGCCAGCCGUACUGUCGGUAUAAGAGAAGGCUCAAUAGACUUCUGACUCCUGUCACAACUAGGGGAUAAAUCAAGAAACCCUUGUUCCUUAAAGGAUCGGCCAUGUCCAAGUCCUGUAAAGGAAUCGCUCGAUGCAUCUAUUGUGGUGGCCAGAAACACCCAGAAGAAGAAAGAUGCUCCGAAAAAAAAAUCCGCCACGCUAUCUUAACUGCAAAGACUACACAACCUGGCUACUCACCAUUCCUGCCGAACAUCGAUCUGCCCAGAUGUUGGCAGUAAAGGAAAACAUUCCCCUACGGGAUGCCAAAAAAAUAAUCUCCCUCAAGAAGCUCAUGCUGGAUUGCUGUUCGAUUUUUGCCGCCAUAACGUGUAGCAUAACUUCGCAAUUUGUGCUUUUGGCAUGUUUUGCUAUCUGGGUAUGGACUGCCAGUGGCUAACUUCACACUUGUUCACUUGUUGUUAAAAAGAGGCCACAUCACUAACUAAGAACCAAAUAGGCGCGAGUGUAAGGCGAGAAAUCGCCGCGGAAGCGCGACAUUUUUGGGGGCUCGUCCGGGAUCGGCACAUGGCGGAGCGUCAAGCGGAAUUGACGGAGAAGGAUUUAGCGACAGGAGUAAAACAAGAAGGAGCAUCAGGGAGACGGGGGAUUGUCUCGGCCAGAAAGAGAGCUUGCACGCGUGCAGAGGAAUCGGAAAUGACUCCGAGUCUGGAGAUGGUCCUUCGCCUAUGACUAUGGAAGAGCUUUGCCUUCUUAGAGAGGAGCGAGCGGAGCGGCGACGCGGAGCGAAAGAGCAGGGAGGAUCGAUGCGGCAGUUCGAGGAGCAUGAACUAUCCAUACCCGGCCAGUCAAAUCCAAUUUUAAAUCUCGGUUUAAAAUUAAAGCCAUUGUUGUAGCCAGAUCUACAAUCAAUAAUAAAAUAACAACUAAUAAUAAAAGUAGUCCGCAU